AUUGAACGCUGGCGGCAGGCCUAACACAUGCAAGUCGAACGAGUGGCGGACGGUUGAGUAAUGUCUGGGGAACUGCCUGAUGGAGGGGGAUAACUACUGGAAACGGUAGCUACUACCGCAUACCAUCGGAUGUGCCCAGAUGGGAUUAGCUAGUAGGUGGGGUAAAGGCUAACCUAGGCCACGAUCCCUAGCUGGUCUGAGAGGAUGACCAGCAACACUGGAGCUGAGACACGGUCCAGGAUCGUACGGGAGGCAGCAGGGGGGAAUAUUGAACAAUGGGCGAAAGCCUGAUGCAGGCAUGGCGCGUGUAUGAAGAAGGCCUUAGGGUUGUAAAGUACUUUCAGCGGGGAGGCGUUACCCGCAUAAGAAGCCCCGGCUGACUCCGUGCCAGCAGCCGCGGUAAUAC
rnacentral:rRNA from 1 species